rnacentral:tRNA from 4 species
GCGAGCUUGGCGGAAUGGUAGACGCACGAGACUUAAAAUCUCGAGUCCGUAAGGGCGUGCGGGUUCGAGUCCCGCAGCUCGCA